rnacentral:rRNA from 1 species
GGGGAAUUUUGGACAAUGGGCGCAAGCCUGAUCCAGCCAUUCCGCGUGCAGGAUGAAGGCCUUCGGGUUGUAAACUGCUUUUGUACGGAACGAAACGGCCCUUUCUAAUACAGGGGGCUAAUGACGGUACCGUAAGAAUAAGCACCGGCUAACUACGUGCCAGCAGCCGCGGUAAUACGUAGGGUGCAAGCGUUAAUCGGAAUUACUGGGCGUAAAGCGUGCGCAGGCGGUUAUGUAAGACAGUUGUGAAAUCCCCGGGCUCAACCUGGGAACUGCAUCUGUGACUGCAUAGCUAGAGUACGGUAGAGGGGGAUGGAAUUCCGCGUGUAGCAGUGAAAUGCGUAGAUAUGCGGAGGAACACCGAUGGCGAAGGCAAUCCCCUGGACCUGUACUGACGCUCAUGCACGAAAGCGUGGGGAGCAAAC